GUGGGGGGCCCAACCUCCCAUCCGUGUCUAUUGUAGCCUGUUGCUUCGGCGGGCCCGCCGCUUGUCGGCCGCCGGGGGGGCGCCUCUGCCCCCCGGGCCCGUGCCCGCCGGAGACCCCAACACGAACACUGUCUGAAAGCGUGCAGUCUGAGUUGAUUGAAUGCAAUCAGUUAAAACUUUCAACAAUGGAUCUCUUGGUUCCGGCAUCGAUGAAGAACGCAGCGAAAUGCGAUAACUAAUGUGAAUUGCAGAAUUCAGUGAAUCAUCGAGUCUUUGAACGCACAUUGCGCCCCCUGGUAUUCCGGGGGGCAUGCCUGUCCGAGCGUCAUUGCUGCCCUCAAGCCCGGCUUGUGUGUUGGGUCGCCGUCCCCCUCUCCGGGGGGACGGGCCCGAAAGGCAGCGGCGCACCGCGUCCGAUCCUCGAGCGUAUGGGGCUUUGUCACAUGCUCUGUAGGAUUGGCCGGCGCCUGCCGACGUUUUCCAACCAUUCUUUCCAGGUUGACCUCGGAUCAGGUAGGGAUACCCGCUGAACUUAAGCAUAUCAAUAAGCCGGAAGAA
rnacentral:rRNA from 1 species